UCAGCUCUCACCCAAGGCACCUGAGAGAAUUAUUUAGAGGGGAAAAAAACGAGUUUUCACAUUGUUUUAUAGGAAAUUAAAUUUGAAGAUUUGGAAACUAUUUUUAAAACAUAAAUGGAAUUUCAUUAUUUCCUGCUAUAUUGUUUGCUGGCAGAAGUGAAUGUGUUGGUUAGGCUGUUUGAGGAGAAGUUACAGAAGAACAAAAAUCAGGCAGUACAUUCUUUUUUUUGGUUUUGUUUUGGAAUAUCACAGUAACUGAGGAUCAGAUUCUGGCAAUGGGGAUAACACUGAAUUUCAACAACCCUCCACGUCUAAAUGAUUUAUUUUUUAUAUACUUACAAGUCACAGGUAGCCUUAC
rnacentral:lncRNA from 1 species